CCUACGGGGGGCUGCAGUGGGGAAUCUUCCGCAAUGGGCGCAAGCCUGACGGAGCAACGCCGCGUGGGUGAAGAAGGCCUUCGGGUUGUAAAGCCCUGUCUUAUGGGAAGAAGUCAGUGACGGUACCAUAGGAGGAAGCCACGGCUAACUACGUGCCAGCAGCCGCGGUAAUACGUAGGUGGCGAGCGUUGUCCGGAAUUACUGGGCGUAAAGGGCGCGCAGGCGGGUUUUUAAGUCAGAUGUGUAAUCUACAGGCUCAACCUGUAGUUUGGAUCUGAUACUGGAAAUCUUGAGUGCAGGAGAGGACAGUGGAAUUCCUAGUGUAGCGGUGAAAUGCGUAGAUAUUAGGAGGAACACCAGUGGCGAAGGCGGCUGUCUGGCCUGCAACUGACGCUGAGGCGCGAAAGCGUGGGUAGCGAACAGGCUUAGAUACCCCGGUAGUC
rnacentral:rRNA from 1 species